rnacentral:rRNA from 1 species
AUUGAACGCUGGCGGCAGGCCUAACACAUGCAAGUCGAGCGGAUGAAGGGAGCUUGCUCCUGGAUUCAGCGGCGGACGGGUGAGUAAUGCCUAGGAAUCUGCCUGGUAGUGGGGGAUAACGUCCGGAAACGGGCGCUAAUACCGCAUACGUCCUGAGGGAGAAAGUGGGGGAUCUUCGGACCUCACGCUAUCAGAUGAGCCUAGGUCGGAUUAGCUAGUUGGUGGGGUAAAGGCCUACCAAGGCGACGACCCGUAACUGGUCUGAGAGGAUGAUCAGUCACACUGGAACUGAGACACGGUCCAGACUCCUACGGGAGGCAGCAGUGGGGAAUCUUGGACAAUGGGCGAAAGCCUGAUCCAGCCAUGCCGCGUGUGUGAAGAAGGUCUUCGGAUUGUAAAGCACUUUAAGUUGGGAGGAAGGGCAGUAAGUUAAUACCUUGCUGUUUUGACGUUACCAACAGAAUAAGCACCGGCUAACUUCGUG